GGUUUUCAAACACCGAGAAAUUGCCUUCACUGUUUCGAGGUGUUCGGAGUUUUACUAACAAAUUUGUGCAGAGAUUACUAAAUACAAGUGUACGAUUAUUAAAUUCUGGUGUCCCCAACAAAAAUGGCUCCCUCCGAUCGGCCAAUAAUUUUAUGAAUAACAAAUAGUUGACUUGAUCAUUUUUUUUUUCAUAUGCAAUUCCUGUGAUUUCGCAACAAAAAUUCGUACACUGAAGAGACGAUCAAUUUGUUUGCUAAGUUUUGGUUUGAACUGUUGAAGCUCUGUGCAGGAGGAGAUAAAUUGAACAAACUUCCAAGAAACAGCAACGUUUUGAACCCGUUUUGAACAUGAAAAAUAUUAAGUGUCAUAAUAAUUUUGAUUCAACAUGUAAUGCCAACAAGUCUAAUGCAUUACUUCUCAUAUUGGCCAGACCUUUACCAAUCAUCGGACAACCGUAGUACAACAUCCAAGCACGUAGUUGCCCCACAGUGCACUUCGAUCAAACAUCGCGUUCAUGGCUCAAAAGGAUGAGGGAUGUGUUCAUUAAUACAUAUACCUCUGCAGUGAUUCCAUGGAAGAACAUGAAAACUACGAGAAGAAAACUUCGCAUCGAACAACCUCGGUACGAAACCAAAACAGUGCUCGCUGGUCGCUCCAUAAUGUAUUUCGAUCAAAAAUGGCGCUUGUGAGAAUGUAUAUUUAACAAUGGGGACCUCACGCGACACAACGCGACUCAGUUUGGAAACAACGAAACCGAGAAGGGCCCGGGGCAAGAAUGCUGCCAUGAGUUCGGGAAGCUGGCGCGCUAGAUAUGAAAUGAUAGAUAACCAACGAAACGCGCAGUACAGGGGUCUUGCUAUCGGAGAAUAUGUGAUAAUGCCCGGCAUCAUUUCGUUAUUAACACACAUUUGGAUCACAUCCAAGGAAAGAUGAAAAUACUACAGCAAGAAGUUAAAAACCUUUAACCACCUGCUCAUGUAUUGGUUGAUGGAGACUUUCACAUUGACAAUAGCAGUCCAAAUGUUGGGCCAGUAGAGAAGAGUAUCUGGUUACUCAACUCCAUGAAUCAAACUGUUCUGCGGUCAGUAUCUCCGUUGCGAGUGGAGACUAACUUUGACAGUAGAACUUUUAACGCUCUAUUUAAGCUUUAAUGUCGAAAUAAGUAAUUAAACUUGUAAGAGCAAGUGGAAAGAUGGCUUCAGAUCAUUACGGACUUCAUGCAAUUUAAGUCAAGCUACUUUAAAUUUUGCAGCCUAUAAUUGUCAUUUUCACUCGGCCAUGUUCCACAGAGAUAUUCUUUGAGAUGUAAUACUCUAAAACACUCUUGGAGACCUAGCAACAGUUAGUCGAGGGAGGAGGAACAAAAUCAACAAGCAAAAUCAGGACUGAUACAAGUUCACAAGUACGUUUGAAAGGAGUGAGAUAUGAUCCGAUUCCAUGGAUUGGUGAUCAGUCUGAGAAUUAAUACUCCCCAAUUGCCUGGCUCUGUGGCACAACAGCGUAGUAAACACUGAUCUAAAAAACAGACUGAAUCGAGCUUCUAUUGGUUAAAAAGUUAAGCCAAAAAAUUGCAGCCAUCUUACGAGGACCCAAAAAGCUGCGUGUCCUUGAGGAGUCAAUGCGAGAUCACUCGGCAUGGAUUGUCAAAUGCAACUUUAAGGAUUUUACAGCUAUUUGGAGGUAUGUUUUCAAUAUACUUUUCAACUAUGGUUUAUAUUCCUCCUAUAACAUGAUAUUAUAGCAGAAACGUAGACUCGGAAAAAUCCGGGCCCCAGACUUGAACCCAUGAUCCUCGAUCCAGCCUUCUUUUGAGAUCAGUGAUAGUGAACAAAACUAUAAUAUGGCUUCUGUAGCGGAUAGGAAUUUACCAUGUCACAGGGACCACUCCUUGUGUCUCAGGGGCGGGAAACUGAUCAAAAUAACCAGACGUUAAAAAU